rnacentral:rRNA from 1 species
CCUACGGGAGGCUGCAGUGGGGGAUAUUGCACAAUGGAGGGAACUCUGAUGCAGCGACGCCGCGUGAGGGAAGAAGGUUUUCGGAUUGUAAACCUCUGUCUUCGGUGACGAAACGAGACGGUAGCCGAGGAGGAAGCCACGGCUAACUACGUGCCAGCAGCCGCGGUAAUACGUAGGUGGCAAGCGUUGUCCGGAAUUACUGGGUGUAAAGGGAGCGUAGGCGGGAAAGCAAGUUGAAUGUUUAAGGUACGGGCUCAACCUGUACAAGCGUUCAAAACUGUUUUUCUUGAGUGGAGUAGAGGUAAGCGGAAUUCCUAGUGUAGCGGUGAAAUGCGUAAAUAUUAGGAGGAACACCAGUGGCGAAGGCAGCCUACUAAACUGCCACUGACAUUGAUGCUCGAAAGUGUGGGUAUCAAACAGGAUUAGAUACCCUUGUAGUC